rnacentral:rRNA from 1 species
AUUGAACGCUGGCGGAAUGCUUUACACAUGCAAGUCGAGCGGCAGCGCAGGGGCAACCCUGGCGGCGAGCGGCGAACGGGUGAGUAACAUAUCGGAACGUACCCCGUCGUGGGGGAUAACUAUCCGAAAGGAUAGCUAAUACCGCAUACGACCUGAGGGUGAAAGCGGGGGACCGUAAGGCCUCGCGCGAUGGGAGCGGCCGAUAUCGGAUUAGCUAGUUGGUGAGGUAAAGGCUCACCAAGGCGACGAUCCGUAGCUGGUCUGAGAGGACGACCAGCCACACUGGAACUGAGACACGGUCCAGACUCCUACGGGAGGCAGCAGUGGGGAAUUUUGGACAAUGGGGGGCAACCCUGAUCCAGCCAUGCCGCGUGAGUGAAGAAGGCCUUCGGGUUGG